ACUCUCUACUCCUUGAGCUUCUCCUCUUGAGAGUUUCUGCGGUAAAGGUUCCCCUUCCAUCUGCAUAGCCCCCCGAAAGCCUGGGGAAACUAGCUGGAAGCCAGUCGCUGUGAGGCGCGAACUUUUGCCAAAGGGAUCUCGAAGGCGGAGUUCCUGGCGGUGUUAGUGAAGCGGGGCUUAGUUCGAAUUGCUGCUCGUCUCCACGGCGGACCCAGGCACCAGCUACCUUCGCGGCUGGUCGGUGCGGCGGAGAGGUCGGGCAACAUGCGUCGUUGAUUGCGGAAAGUUCUGAAGAUAGGUUGAGAGGUUUCGAAGAAUUGCAGGUGUACACGGAAGCGAAAUGUUCUGCAAAACCUUUGCAGAGGUCAUCUUCACCCGAAAUGAUGUUUCCCUUGAAGUUCAUUACAGCUGGAAGACGGUCGCAUGAUUUCUUAUUUCGUAUGAAUUUCCAGAAUGCUAGUGGAUCCUUUUUGAAUCUGAAUUCGAUCUUUCUAAUGUACCCAGAUAGCAAAGCCGAAGGCCUUUGUAUGGGAGCCAUCGUCCCAACCAGCAAAACCGAAGCUAUUGGAAAACUUUCCUGUGUGCCAAAGCGAGAGAGCAUGUCUUCUUUCUCUAGAUUUUGGACGGCACAACGCCGAUCGUGUGGCCUAUGAACGAAAAAUGGGAGAAGGGGAAACCGAUAUCCUUCGAGUGACACACACGCAUGCAUCUGCAUGCGUAUUCCGCUGAACCGAGACUACACAUCUCUCUCGAUCUCCCAUGAUUUUUCUGCUAUGGCGCUCAUCCGGGUGUUAGGCAUCCUCAGUCUGUCCAGAACUUUCACUGUGGAAGGAUGUGUAGGAGUGAUGUGUGAUUUCUUGUGCCCCGUACUUUGCUCGUUUACGUUUUGUGUCGUAGUCCUUCUUCUUCAAUUAUGGAAUGAUUUAUCCUUGUAAAUUUCUAAGUUACAGGUGCACGCGCAUGUUAAUCGACGGUUGCCAACAUCUCGCAAAACGAUCGACGGAAGGAAAACGGUGUCCGGUUUUAAAAUAUCAAGAUUUCAUCACAGCUCUUUCGUAGAAGAGCGCACUUCAUGGACGCCUAGGAUACGGCUAAACAUGCGCAGCACCAGUCCGUGACGUCAUUUCCAGACAGGCGCCGGCUGAACACGCGCAGCACCAGUCGAGGAUGUCCUAGCGAGAAGGGCAGAAGGAGGAACGAGAGGAAGGGUAACGGAACCGCUACAAUUGUAGGGGGUGAAGCAUCCAGCCGUGUACAGAGUGUGAGUGUGCCAAAACGCAUGUGGAAAGCGGAGGUCCAAUAAAUAGCAUGCGAAAGUGUGCAUAAAGCAAAAAGAAAAAGCGUCACUACUACAACCAGCAAUCCGAAAAUAUAAGGGGAGGGAUAAAUACAAAUGUAUGCGUAAGCAGGACCAGCAAUCCAAGCAUUUGAAUGUGUGCGUCGGUUUGUGCCGUGCUGAAAGUUUUUACUUUAGCUGCUGCUAGUGUAAAAACUUAAGGAAAGCUUAAAAUUUUUUACACGGGGCGCCUUCGGAAAUUGCUGGCUGGGGUGCUGAUCAAGGCUCACUUUUUCGCGCGCAUAAAGCAAAAUGUGCGCGAAGGCGAAAAAAACCCGAAAGCGCUUCGUGUCCUCUCUCGUGUUUCUAGUUUUAUUCUCUCUCGCAUGUCAUCACUCUCUCCCAGUUUUUCGGAUUGAAAUGAGAAUUCACUCUCCUGAUUUGGUUGCGGCAGUCUAGCUGCUUC